rnacentral:rRNA from 1 species
UGGGGGAUAUUGCACAAUGGGCGAAAGCCUGAUGCAGCGACGCCGCGUGGGGGAUGAAGGCUUUCGGGUUGUAAACCUCUUUCGCUAUCGAACAAGGCCCGCUUAGGGUGGGUUGAGGGUAGGUGGAGAAGAAGCGCCGGCUAACUACGUGCCAGCAGCCGCGGUAAUACGUAGGGCGCGAGCGUUGUCCGGAAUUAUUGGGCGUAAAGGGCUUGUAGGCGGCUUGUUGCGCCUGCUGUGAAAACGGGGGGCUUAACUUCGCGCGUGCAGUGGGUACGGGCAGGCAUGAUGGGGGUAGGGGAGACUGGAAUUCCAGGUGUAGCGGUGGAAUGCGCAGAUAUCUUGAGGAAAACAGAUGGCGAAGGCAGGUCACUGGGCCAUUAGUGACGCUGAGGAGCGAAAGCAUGGGUAGCGAACAGG